rnacentral:rRNA from 1 species
GAUGAACGCUGGCGGCGUGCCUAAUACAUGCAAGUCGAGCGAACAGACGAGGAGCUUGCUCCUCUGACGUUAGCGGCGGACGUGUGAGUAACACGUGGAUAACCUACCUAUAAGACUGGGAUAACUUCGGGAAACCUGAGCUAAUACCGGAUAACAUGUAGAACCUUAUGGUUCAACAUUGAAAGACGUUCCUUAUGAUUAGUAUAUAUGGAAGCGAGCCGCAUUAGCUAGUUGGUAAGGUUACGCUUUACUAAGUGGACGAUGCGUAGCCGACCUGAGAGGGUGAUCGGCAACACGGGAACUGAGAGACGGUGCAACCUGCUGCGGGAGGCAGCAGUAGGGAAUCUUCGGGAGUGGGCGGAAGCCUGACGGGGCAACGCGGCGUGAGUGAAGAAGGUCUUCGGAUCGUAAAACUCUGUUAUUAGGGAAGAACAAAUGUGUAAGUAACUAUGCACAUCUUGACGGUACCUAAUAAGAUAGCCACGGCUAACUACGUG